CGGUUUUGAGGAAAAAGCACUCUCGAGUGACACAACACCUAAAAUUGACCAAUAAAUCACCAAAUUAGUCACUUAAAUAGAUACUAAACCGAACUACAUCGAAAUAGACAACCCUUUAAUCUACCAAAACCCUUACCUUUGAAUGAGUAGCCGUGAUUUCUCACAAUUAAAGUGCUGAUUGGAACCCCAACCCCUUGAUCUUCUACUAAACACCAAAUGAACCCCAUUAACCAAGGAUACACUAACCAAAACAAUAAUCGCACUUACCAAACUUACCAAAAAAGCACAAUGAGCACCGAAAUAAUGAGAUACGAAAAUUCAAUAGUAGAUAGUAAAACAAAAACAAAAUCACUAAAAAGGAAAAGGAAUAAGAAAAUGGGAGAGAAAAGAAAGAAAAAAUUAAUGUCAGAUUCUUUUGGGAAUUUUUGGAAGAGAGAGGAAUUUAAAAAAAAAAGAAAAUUAAAAAAAAUUAUUAUCAAAUCCCAACUCCCCCACUAACCACUCAACCUCAACUACCUUAGAAUCCCAGAACCACCGAAACUCUACCAUGCAACCGAGUAAAAAAACACAUCCACGCUCGCACAAGGAUUCAAACACAAUAACUCCAACACACUAACUCCC
rnacentral:lncRNA from 1 species